GACGAACGCUGGCGGCGUGCUUAAUACAUGCAAGUCGAACGGAAAGGAGCUGCUUUCUUGUGGUGCUCGAGUGGCGCACGUGUGUGUAACACGUGAGUCCCCUGCCUUUGACUUUGGUAUACCUUCAGGAAACUGGGGAUAAUCCCGGAUAGGAGCUCCUGCUGCUUGGUGGGGGUUGGAAAGUUUCGGCGGUUGGGGAUGGACUCGCGGCUUAUCAGUUUGUUGGUGGGGAAGUGGCUUACCAAGGCUUUGACGGGUAGCCGGCCUGAGAGGGUGACCGGCAACAGUGGGACUGAGAUACGGCCCGGACUCCUACGGGAGGCAGCAGUGGGGAAUAUUGCACAAUGGGCGGAAGCCUGAUGCAGCAACGCCGCGUGCGGGAUGACGGACUGCGGGUUGUAGACCGCUUUCGCCUGUGACGAAGCGUGAGUGACGGUAAUGGGUAAAGAAGCACCGGCUAACUACGUG
rnacentral:rRNA from 1 species